rnacentral:rRNA from 1 species
CCCAUGGAGCUUUACUGUAGCCUAAUAUUGGGUUUCGAUGUUGCAUGCACAGGAUAGAUGGGACACUGGGAAGCAGGUGCUUUGGCGCUUGUGGAGUGGCCGUUGGGAUACCAUCCUUGCGAUAUUGGAAUUCUAACCUGCGCCUUUGAAUCAAGGCGGGGGACAUUGUUAGGUGGGCAGUUUGACUGGGGCGGUCGCCUCCUAAAGAGUAACGGAGGCGUUCAAAGGUUCGCUCAGCUUGAACGGAAAUCAAGCAAAAGAGUGCAAACGCAGAAGCGAGCCUAACUGCGAGACUGACGGGUCGAGCAGUAACGAAAGUUGGAGUUAGUGAUCCGGUGGUAUGUGAGUGGAAAUGCCAUCGCUCAACGGAUAAAAGUUACCCUGGGGAUAACAGGCUGAUCUCCCCCAAGAGUCCACAUCGACGGGGAGGUUUGGCACCUCGAUGUCGGCUCAUCGCAUCCUGGGGCUGUAUUCGGUCCCAAGGGUUUGGCUGUUCGCCAAUUAAAGCGGUACGCGAGCUGGGUUCAGAACGUCGUGAGACAGUUCGGUCCCUAUCUGUCGUGGGCGCAGGAUAUUUGAUGGGAGCUGUUCCUAGUACGAGAGGACCGGAGCGGACGUACCUCUGGCGCACCAGUUGUUCUGCCAAGAGCAUAGCUGGGCAACUAUGUACGGAUCGGAUAAACGCUGAAAGCAUCUAAGCGUGAAGCCGACCCAAAGAUAAGAUAUCCCAUUGUUUCAAACAAGUAAGACCCCUUGAAGACUACAAGGUUGAUAGGCACGAUGUGUAAGUGGAGCGAUCCAUUCAGCAAGCGUGUACUAAUAGGUCGAGGGCUUGACCAC